rnacentral:rRNA from 1 species
CUCUGAUGCAGCGAUGCCGCGUGAGUGAAGAAGGCCCUUGGGUUGUAAAGCUCUUUCGUCGGGGAAGAAAAUGACUGUACCCGAAUAAGAAGGUCCGGCUAACUUCGUGCCAGCAGCCGCGGUAAUACGAAGGGACCUAGCGUAGUUCGGAAUUACUGGGCUUAAAGAGUUCGUAGGUGGUUGAAAAAGUUAGUGGUGAAAUCCCAGAGCUUAACUCUGGAACUGCCAUUAAAACUUUUCAGCUAGAGUAUGAUAGAGGAAAGCAGAAUUUCUAGUGUAGAGGUGAAAUUCGUAGAUAUUAGAAAGAAUACCAAUUGCGAAGGCAGCUUUCUGGAUCAUUACUGACACUGAGGAACGAAAGCAUGGGUAGCGAAGAGGAUUAGAUACCCUCGUAGUCCAUGCCGUAAACGAUGUGUGUUAGACGUUGGAAAUUUAUUUUCAGUGUCGCAGGGAAACCGAUAAACACACCGCCUGGGGAGUACGACCGCAAGGUUAAAACUCAAAUGAAUUGACGGGGACCCGCACAAGUAGUGGAGCAUGUGGUUUAAUUCGAAGCAACGCGCAGAACCUUACCAACCCUUGACAUACUCGUCGUCGCUCCAGAGAUGGAGCUUUCAGUUCGGCUGGACGAGAUACAGGUGCUGCAUGGCUGUCGUCAGCUCGUGUCGUGAGAUGUUCGGUUAAGUCCGGCAACGAGCGCAACCCACAUCCCUAGUUGCCAGCAGUUCGGCUGGGCACUCUAUGGAAACUGCCCGUGAUAAGCGGGAGGAAGGUGGGGAUGACGUCAAGUCCUCAUGGCCCUUACGUGUUGGGCUACACACGUGCUACAAUGG